rnacentral:rRNA from 1 species
UUUCCGUAGGUGACCUGCGGAAGGAUCAUUAUUGAAACAUUGUAAAGGGGAGUUGAGCUGGUCCUUCUAGGGCAAGUGCUCGCUUUUCUUUCAAUCUUCAUCCACCUGUGCACUUUUUGUAGAGAGUUCUGAGAAAAUAUGGAGGGGCCCCUCUUGAGUGGGGGGUUUUCCCCUAAGUAUCAGGUUCUCUAUGUCUUUACACACUCUGAAUGAAUGUCUUUGAAUGUGCAUUAUAAAGGGACCUUAAUUGGACCUUUUACAAAACUAUACAACUUUCAGCAACGGAUCUCUUGGCUCUCGCAUCGAUGAAGAACGCAGCGAAAUGCGAUAAGUAAUGUGAAUUGCAGAAUUCAGUGAAUCAUCGAAUCUUUGAACGCACCUUGCGCCUCUUGGUAUUCCGAGAGGCAUGCCUGUUUGAGUGUCAUUAAAUUCUCAACCUCAAAUACGUUUUUUGCGUUGAUGAGGCUUGGAGGUGGAGGAUUUGCUGGCUCUGUACAGAGUUGGCUCCUCUAAAAUACAUUAGUGGAAAACUGUUUGUGGUCCGCAUUGGUGUGAUAAUCAUCAGCGCUAUUGUAGCUACAAGCUUGUUGUGGUGUUCGUUUGGAUAGUGCAUGAAUAAUGCUCUUUCUGUUUGAUUGAACCUACAAUAGGUUAUAGUAUCCGCUUCAAACCGUCCUAAGUUACUGGACAACAUUUGAUUCUUUUGACCUCAAAUCAGGUAGGACUACCCGCUGAACUUAAGCAUAUCAAUAAGCGGAGGAAAAGAAACUAACAAGGAUUCCCCUAGUAACUGCGAGUGAAGAGGGAAAAGCUCAAAUUUAAAAUCUGGCAGCUUCGCUGUCCGAGUUGUAAUUAGA